AUCCAGGAAUAUUUUUCCUGAUACAAUAAUAAAGUUAUAAAAUAAAGGAAGAUAACAGGAUGGUCUUCGAUUACCAAAGCCGGAUCACUUCGAGCCGGGCCUAGAUAUAGAAGCUGUGUUGUGACUAAUCGCACCUUUUGUUUUCCUUAUCAAUUUUAUUAUGCCACUGCUUUCAAGUCUUGCCAAUCGUCAGGUGGAUUUCAGAUUUAUGGUAUUCUAAUACUUUGAAAUUAGGAAAUAAAGUACUGACUAGUCCAGAUUAAAAUCUUUUCCAAAAAAUAAUCUGCAAAGCAUACCAAAUACACUAUGUUUCAUAACUAUAGAUCCAAUCAAUACUUUAAUACAGAUAUCUUUUCACCUUCCCAGAGUAGUUUGCAGCUUGGAAACCAGGUACAGUAACUUGUACAAAAUAGUAUAUCACAAAUCGAGGGAAAAUCUAGAACAAAAACCCUUGGAGAUCGCAUAAAGACAGAGAGAUGUCGACCUGUAAAACAUCAAGAUGUGGAGUCAACUGUAGUAACAAAAUUUUCGUUUUCAGUUGCCAAAACCGGAAUCUUUUUUCUUCAUUAUUUUUUUACCUUUCUCUGUUUGUAAAUGAUUACAUAAUAUGCCUAGUUACCACUAUGAAACAAUACGACGAUAUUUUUUAAUAAAAAUUGCUGAAGUAUUUCAUGAAAUUAGAUUUAAAAGUCAUAAUUGUUUUUCGCACAAACUGAACAAAUAUGACAAAAACUUCUACAUCUAAAGCAAGCUGCUCAUUCCUAAUCAUUCGAACAAAAACAGUAAAACUAUCGCAUAUUAGGUCAAACUGACGCAACGAAUUAUAAAAAAAAAGUGGGGCAUUGGGUUUUACUGCAAAACUAUUGGUAAUAUCCAUUUGGUGCUCCGAGAAGUUUCUUAGUUUUUUUAAGUUCCCUUUGAAAAGUACAUUUUCAAAUAUGUGGAGCUAUUCUAAGGCCUCCAAAAUACUCCGAAGUUUGUGACACAAAUCUAACAUUCUCAACCAAAUUUUAUGCACGAUGAAUGAUCACAGAACAUAGUCUACGGUACUCAAAAAGCCUCAAAGCACCCCUAGAAAAUUCACGGUACAUGACUUGGGUGAUCUAGGUGAUCCAAACUACUCUGGAAUUCAUUUUCUUAAGAUCUAAAACAUCUACCAUCGUUUGUGUUCACUCUGUUCAAGAAAUUUAGUCACGUUGAUGUCCAUUAGACCUCACUAUGCUAUGAUCAACUUAAUAUUUGUGGAAUGUAGUCUAUACUGAUGAUGGAACCUCAGUGCACAUCUAUAAUGCUUUUGGUACACUCAUGGGAUAUUCCAGGCUUUCCAAACUAUUCUGGAGUUAGGAACUUCAAGGCCUACAGGCUCUACUCUUGUUUAUCUCUAUUCUAACGGCAUAAUUCUUUCACGAUUGUGUCUGUUGCACCUUAUUAUAAUACGAGUAUCUCCAUUUGUUGCUAUUUGGGUGUCUACUGGCAUACAAAUGGACCCAAUGUAUUUUGAAGUAUGGGUCGCAAUAUCUGUAAAUCUUAGGAUAUUUUUAUUGUAGCGAAUACUCGCGGAAUAUAAUCUACGCUACUCUUAGAACCUCUCUCUCUCUCUCUCUCUUCUUGGCGUAACGUCCUCAUUGGGACAAAGCCUGCUUCUCAGCUUAGUGUUCAAUGAGCACUUCCACAGUUAUUAACUGAGAGCUUCCCCUGCCAAUGACCAUUUUGCAUGCGUAUAUCGUGUGGCAGGCACGAAGAUACUCUAUGCCCAAGGAAGUCAAGGAAAUUUCGUUUUACGAAAAGAUCCUGGACCGACCGGGAAUCGAACCCGUCACCCUCAGCAUGGUCAUGCUGAAUACCCGUGCGUUUACCGCCUCGGCUAUAUGGGCCCACAGAGUGCAAUUCUGAUAACUUAGCAACAUUCACUUGGUGAUCUAGGUCAUCCAAACUGUUCUGGAGUUAAGACCUUCAAUCUCUACAAGCUCUACUCUUGUAUCUCUUUACUUUAUCGAUGUAAUUCUUCCACGAUUACCUCUGUUGUAUCUCAUAUGUUGAUUAUUUUUUUGUGUUCCUUGUGCAUCCACUGACAUACAAAUGAUCUUUAUGGUAUUUGAAAGUGUCGGAUAUUACCCAAGAACUCCUCUAGGCGUUCCUCGGAAAGUCCUCCAGGAGUCCCUCAGAAGUUCAUCGUGAUGUUCUCCAAGAAUACUUCUACGAGUUUUUAGGGAAUGUCUCAGGACUUCCCGUGAAAUUCUUCAGGAGAUUCCCAGUUGUUUCUCGAAAAUUUCAGGAGGUAUGCUGGCAUUACUCCGACAGUUCCUCAGGAAUUACUCCGAAAAUUCCCCGAGGAUUCCACGGAAGUCCCCUAGAAUUCUUCCAAGAAUCCCUCCAAGAAUUUGAAAGACUCCUACUGGACCUUCCCUAAGAAUUUCACUAGAGAACCCUCUAAGAUUUCUGCCAAUAAUCCCUUCAGGAAUUUUGCCAGAAAUUCCUACAGAGAUUUUUCAAGAAAUUCUUCAAAAAUUCAUUUAAAAAAUCUUCCAGAAAUUCCUUUAUGAAUACCUCCUAGAUUCUUCAGGAAACCUCCAGAAAUUCCUCAAGAAAAUACUCCCGGGACAACUCCAGGGAUUCCACCGAGAAUAACUGCAAGGAUUUCUCCAAGAACUGCUCCGAAACUUCUUCCAAGAAUUCCUCCAAUAUUUCUCAAGGAAAUACUUCAAGAAUUCCUCCAAAACUUUCUCCACAAAUUCCUCCAGGAAUUUCUUCAAGAAUCCGUCCAGGUUUUUUUCCAGAAAUUCUUUUAAGCAGUUCAACAGGAACUCUAAUAAGAAUUUCUCCAAUAUUUAUGAUACAAUUCCUCCAAGAAUCCGACCCGGAAUUUUGCCAGGGAUUCGUUUAUAAAUUUCUCUGUAAAUUCCUCCAGGGAUUUUCAAUAAAUACCUUCAGAAAUUCCUCCUGGAAUGCCUACAGGAAUACCUCCAGGAAUUCCUCCAAGAAUUCCUUCAGGAAAUCCUCCAAAAAUUCGUCCAGGAAUUUCUCCAAGACAUCCACCAAGAACUCCUCCAACAAUCCCUUCUAGAAUUCUUUUCCAUGAAUUCCUUCAGCAAUACCUCCAAGAAAUCUUUCAAGAAUUCCUCCAAGAAUCUCUCUAGGAAUUUCUCCAGGAAUUCCUUGAAGAUUUUUUUCACGAAUUUCUCCAAGAAUUCCUACAAGAAUACUUCCAGGAUUUUUUUCAAGGAUUUCCUGAAGAAAUCUCUAGAGAAUACCCUGGAAGAAUUCCUGGAGUACUUUCUUCAAGAAUUCAUGCAGUAAUUUGUGAAGGAAUUUUUAAAGAAUUUCCCAGGGAAAUUCUUAGAGGAAUUCCUAAGAAUUUCCUUGAACUUCGAGGAAAUUUUGAAGUUAUGUUUUUCAAUUUUUAUUUUCUGGAGGAAUUCCUGGAGUAUUUCAUGAAGUACUUCCUGUAAGAAUUCAUGAAGUAAUUCAUGCGGGUAAUUCCGAAUUUACGCUAGGGUUUUCCCGCAAGAACUGGAAUUGCAGAAAUUUCUGGAGAAACAUUCGUUGGUGUUCUCGUCGGUUUUCUACAAAAGUUUUCCUUAGGUAGUGCCAUAAUUGGAACAGGCACCCCAUUUGAAUUUUUUUCAAGAAUCCCGCUUUGUUUCUUAUGUGCUUCGAUAGUGCAUGAGUAACUGUUUGAGUGAUGCAAAAAUUUAGCUGCUUGUAUCUGCUACUUUCAAAAUUGCAAUACUGGGAAUUUUCUAACCUCCCUCCCCCUUCGUACGGGUUUUUCCUAUACUUAAUACAUUGCUUGUCACAUUUUCACAAAACCUACCCCCCUUCCCCCUAGGACAGUGACGUACUUAAUGGAUGGCCCCUUACUACCUUUAAAUGAUAAGAUAGAGUUUUGUAGUUUUCAGAAAUGAUGUUCAUUUUUACAGUAUCUAUUGCUUUGCUGAACAUUGUAAACCCGAGAAAAUUGAAAUAAAAAAGUUAUAACGAAAAAAACACUUUUUAAGCUGGUGUUACACCAUAUGCUACUACAAUUCAUCCAGCACAUGGUGAACUUCUGUAAAAUUGGCCAUAAUCAAGAUACGUAUAUUGCUGGAUCUAGAUUUGUUUCAACAUAAUAUCCUUGAUUUUUUUUUCUUUAAAAGGUAUUUACAUAAAGCAAUAAAACCAAAUUGGCAUUCAUCUACACUAAAAUGCGAUCCUUCGUUCAUGGUGUAAUAGUUCUUAUGACAUUCUAAAACCUUUCGGGCUACACUUGUACGAUGCAAAAAAAAAACAAAAAAAUACCAUGAAAGUACAAUAACAUCCACCUCAAUGAUAUAUUUUAUCACAUUUUAUAAUCAGAUUCUACUUUUUCACUCACGGAAUCAUCCAUUUUCAACGUUUCGGCAGCGAUCCUCGAAAACAACACUUUUUAAGCUGGUGUUACACCAUAUGCUUCUAUCGGUGCACAUAACUUUGUCAGUUUUGAAGACAGAAUUUUCCCGUCUUCGACAAAGUUUCUCAAAAUGGCUGAAUUUACAAUGUUUCCAUGGAAGUCAUUAGAUUUUGGCCACAAAUUAAAAAAAAAAUAUCUUGUUGUAUUACCACCUUAUCCUAAAAAAUGUUACACCUUUUAAAUGUACUUCAAAAACAAAGAAACUCCUCCGAUGACACCAGAUGGCUAUUACCAAUAGUUUUGUCGCAAAACCCAAUGUCCCACUUUUUUUUUUAAUUCGUCCCACUUUGUGAUGUUCCAAUUAGCGAAUGGCAAUGUAAACAUGUUGCAACAAGCGAACGACCGCUGUAUAUCUUUGAAAAACUUGAAGGGCUACCUUUUACAUGAGCUUUGGGAGCAACACUUCCAAGUUCUAUCAAACAAAAAAUGAUAUUUCCAUAUUUUUUUAAUAUUUUUUUUUGUUUUGGCUCAAGAGCCUGCCGCACCAGCGAAAUGUUCGCGACGCACUAGUGCGCCGUGGCGCACUGUUUGGGAAGCACUGCCCUUAGAUUCAGUAAAUAGUGGUCCCCCAUACUUGUUUACAUUUAGAAAAAAAUCGAAAUGAUGCUUUCCAGCGUAAUUACACCUAUUGCCUAGGAACACAAGCCAUCGUCUACUGGUGGAAGUUCACCAGUAGAAACCGAUUUGAGCAGGAAAUUAAAAAAAAAGAAGAAUUCAGUAUAAGUUAAGGGUCCAUUAUUGGCUUAAAUAUCCUAUUAGAAUUAUAUUAUUUAGUGCUACAUUUACGCUAUAGUCGAUUUUCGGAAAAUUCUUGUGAAAAUCCGAUUUCCAACAUCCAACAUUCUGUGCACGAUGAUAACGGUUUGACCGUCGUUUAAUCAACUCUGCGCCAUAUAAUUUGAAAAUACGUCUGUUUCAACGAACUGCUUAUGUAUUAUAAUCUCACAGAUAACAGUCAUCGCAAUCAUUUGCAAGAUAUAAAAAGGCCGCUUUUCACUUUUUUUCAUCAUAUUGGUCUGCAUCGUGUGACAGUUAGCCGAUUGUAUUACAACGUUUGAACGAGCGCAUUUUGAUAUUGCUAAGUCUUUCUCCAACACAAAAAAAUGAAUGGUAUAGAAAUGCGAAAUGUGAAAAUUGACGAAAUUCGAUAUGAACAUGCCAUAAAAUACCCUGAUGGAGUGGUGGACAGUCAAAAACAAGUAUUGAAAAAUGUCGUUACUGAUAAAGUGUUGCUAACACCACCUAAAAAGCUGACAGGUAUAACCGUGACUCCUGCGAUACGGCCAGCAAAACCACUCCCUGCUAAAGCGAUUACACCCAAACCAUGAAAAGGCCCAACGUUAUUGAAAGAAUUGCGAAUCAAAAAGUUUCAAUGUUCUGGUAUAAAAUGUUAUAAUCGUUUAUUAAAAAUGCGCAGAAUUAACAGUAUGAGUCAAAGAAUACUGAUUAAAUAAACUAUUGGUAAACUAAAAUA